UGACGACUGACAGAACAGCGGUGGUUUUCAUCUACAGGUCGUUAAGGCAGCAGUUGGUCUCCAGCUGAAUUAGUGGCUGAUGUUUCCAGCAGAGUGACGUCAUGGCGACUGCAGCAUCAGGGUCGCGGGAG